rnacentral:rRNA from 1 species
UAGGGAAUCUUCCGCAAUGGGCGAAAGCUUGCCGGAGCAACGCCGCGUGAGUGAUGAAGGUCUUCGGAUCGUAAAACUCUGUUAUUAGGGAAGAACAAAUGUGUAAGUAACUAUGCACGUCUUGACGGUACCUAAUCAGAAAGCCACGGCUAACUACGUGCCAGCAGCCGCGGUAAUACGUAGGUGGCAAGCGUUAUCCGGAAUUAUUGGGCGUAAAGCGCGCGUAGGCGGUUUUUUAAGUCUGAUGUGAAAGCCCACGGCUCAACCGUGGAGGGUCAUUGGAAACUGGAAAACUUGAGUGCAGAAGAGGAAAGUGGAAUUCCAUGUGUAGCGGUGAAAUGCGCAGAGAUAUGGAGGAACACCAGUGGCGAAGGCGACUUUCUGGUCUGUAACUGACGCUGAUGUGCGAAAGCGGGGGGAUCAAACAGG